rnacentral:rRNA from 1 species
CCAGACUCCUACGGGAGGCAGCAGUGGGGAAUAUUGCACAAUGGGGGAAACCCUGAUGCAGCGACGCCGCGCGAGCGAUGAAGUAUUUCGGUAUGUAAAGCUCUAUCAGCAGGGAAGAAAAUGACGGUACCUGACUAAGAAGCCCCGGCUAACUACGUGCCAGCAGCCGCGGUAAUACGUAGGGGGCAAGCGUUAUCCGGAUUUACUGGGUGUAAAGGGAGCGUAGACGGCGGCGCAAGCCAGAUGUGAAAGCCCGGGGCUCAACCCCGGGACUGCAUUGGAAACUGUAUUGCUUGAGUACCGGAGAGGCAGGCGGAAUUCCCAGUGUGGCGGUGAAAUGCGUAGAUAUUGGGAGGAACACCAGUGGCGAAGGCGGCCUGCUGGACAUUAACUGACGCUGAGGCGCGAAAGCGUGGGGAGCAAACAGGAUUAGAUACCCUUGUA